rnacentral:rRNA from 1 species
GAUGAACGCUAGCGGCAGGCCUAAUACAUGCAAGUCGGACGGGAUUGAGGAGCUUGCUCCUCAUGAGAGUGGCGCACGGGUGCGUAACACGUAUGUAACCUACCUUAAUCAGGGGGAUAGCCUCUCGAAAGAGAGAUUAACACCGCAUAAAAUCACACUAUGGCAUCAUAGAAUGAUCAAAUAUUUAUAGGAUUAAGAUGGGCAUGCGCAACAUUAGCUAGUUGGUAAGGUAACGGCUUACCAAGGGUACGAUGUUUAGGGGAUCUGAGAGGAUGGCCCCCCACACUGGUACUGAGACACGGACCAGACUCCUACGGGAGGCAGCAGUAAGGAAUAUUGGUCAAUGGGCGGAAGCCUGAACCAGCCACGCCGCGUGCAGGAAGACGGCCCUACGGGUUGUAAACUGCUUUUAUACGGGAAUAAACCUACUCACGUGUAAGUAGCUGAAUGUACUGUAAGAAUAAGGAUCGGCUAACUCCGUGCCAGCCGCCGCAGUAACAC